rnacentral:rRNA from 1 species
AUUGAACGCUGGCGGCAUGCCUUACACAUGCAAGUCGAACGGCAGCGGACCUUCGGGUGCCGGCGAGUGGCGAACGGGUGAGUAAAGUAUCGGAACGUACCUUUCAGUGGGGGAUAACUGUCCGAAAGGACAGCUAAUACCGCAUAUUCUGUGAGCAGGAAAGCAGGGGAUCGCAAGACCUUGCGCUGAUUGAGCGGCCGAUAUCAGAUUAGCUAGUUGGUGAGGUAAAGGCUCACCAAGGCGACGAUCUGUAGCGGGUCUGAGAGGAUGAUCCGCCACACUGGAACUGAGACACGGUCCAGACUCCUACGGGAGGCAGCAGUGGGGAAUUUUGGACAAUGGGCGCAAGCCUGAUCCAGCCAUGCCGCGUGAGUGAAGAAGGCCU